CUUUACUGUAACUUGAAAUUGAAAUUGGACUUUACUUGCGCAGUAUAGGUGGGAGGCGUUGAAAAUCUUCUUGCGGGAGGAUUGGAGCCAUCAGUGAGAUACCACUCUUGUAAUGUUAGAUUUCUAACUUUGUAUCAUUAUCUGGUCAAAGAACAGUUUCAGGCGGGCAGUUUGACUGGGGCGGUCGCCUCCCAAACGGUAACGGAGGCGCACAAAGGUUUCCUCUGAACGGGUAGAAAUCGUAUCUAGAGUGUAAAGGCAUAAGGAAGCUUGACUGUGAGACUUACAAGUCGAGCAGGGACGAAAGUCGGUCUUAGUGAUCUGACGGUGCUGAGUGGAAAGGCCGUCACUCAACGGAUAAAAGUUA
rnacentral:rRNA from 1 species